AGGAAGAACUUUUAAUGUGUCACCAGGCUGAAUUAGUAAGGCAUCUAUUUCCCUUUCCCCAAUGCACCUUCCACCUUUGUCUUUGACAAUCAGAAGCGCCGUUGCUGGUGCAAGUUCUACUAACUUCUUUAUGGCAUCUGAUGUUUUUCCCUUUGCAAGACACUCCAAAUACUUCCCCAACAGUACAAAUGUUAUCAGCAUGGAACUUGUUUCAAAGUAUGUUGGAGACCAGAAUCCAGAAGCCGCACCAUAUAGCAGUGCACAAACUGAGUAGAAGUAUGAGGCUGAAGUCCCUAGUGCAACUAAAACAUCCAUGUUGGUUGAACCAUUUUUAAGGGCUCUACCAGCUGCUGUAUAGAAGCGCUUCCCAAUUACAAAUUGGACCACACUCACUAAAGCCCACUUUAACCAAUCACCCAUAAGGAAAGGCCCGCAUCUCCAGAGAAGCAAAGAAUAUAGAAG
rnacentral:misc_RNA from 1 species